rnacentral:piRNA from 1 species
UAUUGACAAUCUGUAGGGCCUGGUGUGG